GCCAGGCGUGGUGGCAUACACCUGUAGUCCCAGCUACUUGGGAGGCUGAGAUGGGAGGAUCACUUGAGCCUAGGAGCUCGAGGCUGCAGUGAGCUAUAACUGUGCCACUGCACUCCAGCCUGGGCAACAGAGGGAGACCCUGUCUUUA
rnacentral:SRP_RNA from 1 species